GGGGGCGUAAAUGGUUUCGACGGGGAUCAUGGAUGCCCGAUAAGCGAGCCGAAGACCCUUGCUUCGUAAAAAAAGGGAAAAUACUUAAAUAUAACUGACAACUACAGCUAUAUGCCUGUAGCGGCCUAACGGCCCUACCGUCCGCCCGCAGCUGCCCACGACUGCGGAUACGGGCGUCAUCAAAGUGGGGAACCAGCCCGGGCCAGCCCCGCCCCGGGUGGGAUCAAGGGACUGCCGGAACCGUAAGCCCGUCGGCGGGCGUACGGCAACGAAAGACAUAAUCCGCCGACUACGCUCGUAGAAGUUCGCGCAGACAGGUUUUCGGACAAGAGUUCGACUCUCUUCGCCUCCACCA
rnacentral:tmRNA from 1 species